rnacentral:sRNA from 1 species
GAGGAUCCCUACUCCUCCCGGGCCGCUAGGCUCUCAGUUCUGCUGAGGAAGCACUGUGCUCCCACUGAAGUGACCUGUGAACACCACUCUGCUCUGCAGGCAUGUGGCCAGAGGCUGGAGGAUGGAGGGAUCUCAUUACAGGCAUCUGUGGGCUGGGAGGUUCAAGAAGCAUGGUGCUGGCAUCUGCUUGGCUUCUGUGUGGGCUUUCUUGCUGCAUUAAGACAUGGUGGAAGAUCAAAGGGGAAGUGGAC